UUAUCUUGUAGUUUAAUAUAAAAUAUUAGCAUUGGAAGCUAAAGAUCGUGAAAAAUCACACAGAUAGA
rnacentral:tRNA from 1 species